UUUCACUUGUCUUCACUGCAGCAUGACUAAUAGAAACUUUCAGCUUUGCGUGCAUAUAUAAGCCCCUACAUAAGAAGACUUUGACAUUCUGCCUCAACACACAGAACCCCGAGAUCCAAACGCAAGAUAGAAAAUAGUGGCAAAGAUGUUCGUGAAAGCUAUGGUUGUUUUGGCCCUGGUGGUCUGCAUGGUGCAAGCCAAGCCAAGCUAUUUGGAACUGAGGCGUCGCGUGGAGGCCUUGGAAGAGGCAGUCCGUCCCAAAAGGUUUACAAAAUGCAGUCGUGAUGUAGUAGGAGAGUGCAAGUCCCCUCUCAACUGCGAUUCGCGAAAAGGUUUUCAUACCGUGGAUGCUUAUUGUGAUACCUUUGGGGAUGUCUGUUGUACCUGGUAAAGUCGGCCAUCAAUUUAAAGAAAAACAGCUCAAGUCGUUGUUUUUAACGAUAAAUAAUAAACGAGAUGUUUUGUAAACAGCC